rfam:Marine metagenome ctg_1101668406291, whole genome shotgun sequence.
CUAUCAUCAGAGUGAUCUGAUGAGAUGGAUUAUAAGAAGUCAGCCGAGGGCAUAGUAGGAGUAAUUUUCUGCACUCCGAAGGCC